rnacentral:misc_RNA from 1 species
UCUGCGUCUGCUCGUAUUCUCUCGGAAGUUCGGUAUGAAACGGUAAAAAAUGUGAGUAUUCGUUUCGUUCCGUUUUUACGAAACAAAAAAUAUCAUUUUGUUUUGUAUCGCAUUUAUACGAAACACGUAAAUCUUGUUUCAUUUCGUAUAAUGUUGUUACGAAACGUGAAAUUAUUUUUUCGAUUUGUACCAUUAUUUACGAAACACAAUAAAAUUGUUUCGUUUCUUAUCGGUUUUUACGGAAUAUUUCAUAACUCCCCGCCCAAACAGAUAUUUCACGAUUCCCAUGCCCUCGAGCAAUACAUAAACUUUUACGUUUAAUACUUACUAACUCAAUGUUUCGUAAAUCAAAGUUUAACUAAAAAAAUGUAUUAACAAAGCAAUGCAAUAGCAUCAUUUUCAUAAGGUUUAGCACAUCUAACGAAGUUAAAAAAAGAUAUUGUCUUCUGUAGGUAGGUUUUAGUAAAACUGAUGAACUUAAAGUUUAAAUUUUAUUACAGUAAAACCGUUUUACUGUAAUAAAAUUUUAACUUUAAGUUCAUCAGACAUAAAUUAUGUAUUUGUUUAUAAACUCGCAUGAAGAGUUUGAAAUCAUUGUUUGAAUUAAAUACUUCAAAUUAUAUUAUAUAACAUUUUAAAUGCAAUAUUGUUGUGUUAACUUGAAAUAUUUUGCAAAACUAAUUAAUUUAUUGUUUAAAAACCAUAGUAAUUCUCAAUCAUAUAAUCAUGCCUAUAAAAGCUACAAUUUUAUGGAAUUAUUUCAAUAAAGUUACUGUGUCAGGUGUUAAGUGUGGGGAAUGUAAAAAGUGUCAAAUCCAAAUCAAGUUAACUGAUGGAUCCACUAGUGGUAUCAGGUACCAUCUGAAAACAAAGCAUCCCACUGACUACGCUACAAUGUUAAGAGCCCAAAUUGAACUUGAGCGCCAAAGAGAAGAAGAUAUUAAAGAAAAUACAGAAGCUGCCUUCGAACUGAAUGACGCAUACAAUCAAUGAUCACAAAAAGGCUUAUCUAAAUGUGUUAAUGGGGGAACUAUUGGGAAAUAUUCUUCCCAAUCAGGCAGGCAAUUGGAGACAGACAUGGUAAUCAUGUCAUACAUUGCCAGGUCAAGUAGUCCAUUCACUCUAGUAGAUGAACCAUGCUUCAAAGAAAUGGUGGAACAUUUAAAUCCAAAAGUAAUUGUGAAACAUUCCUCGACUUUUUCAAGGUACAAGCUGCCAUUGCUUUAUGAAAGCGUUAUGGAUACUGUGCAAAACCUAAUUGAAAAAGAAGUUUCCACUUGUCAACAGGUGGCUAUCACCACUGAUGGUUGGACCUCUAGGUCACAGGAUCCAUACAUGACUCUUACGCUUCACUAUAUCAAUAGUCAGUUUGAACUGAAAAAAUAUGUUCUCAACUUUGACAAUUUUGUGGGAAGACACACUGGUUACCACAUUAGCAAAGCUCUGGAAGAAAUGAUCCAAAAAUAUCCGGUAUUGGACGCCGUGCCCAAGAAAGUCAUUGUCCACGAUGCGGCGACAAACAUGAAACAUGCUGUGUCAAUCAUGAACAAAACAAAAUAUGAAUCACUGUUGUGUGCAGACCACCUACUAAACACUAGCCUACUACAUGCUACCAAUGAAGUGCAAGAAGUCAAAGAAUGCAUAGAUAUUGCCACACAACUAUCUAGCAAAGUCCACAGAUCCACCUUAGCUUGUCAACUUAUUGAAAAAGAGUGUAUGUUGCUCCGUGUAAACUAUGUUAAAAUCAUUGCUCCGGUAAAAACCAGGUGGAAUUCUAACUGUUUUAUGCUGGAGUCAAUCUUUAAACUUAAAGAUGUGUUGAUUUCUCUUAGAGAAAAAGAUGCAAUAAAUAACAACCCACUACAGAACGUUAUUCCAAGUGACAACCAAUUUUCACUGAUGGCUUCACUGAUGCCAGUCUUAAAAAAAAUGAAGAUUAUGUCAGAUUGCAUGUCCAAGGACACUGAACCAGUGCUUCAUCAUAUGCUAACUAUGCUUUAUAAAACUGACAAUUUUCUUCAUGACCACAUUGAUAUGGAAAACUGAGAAAUAGUUAAUGCUUUUUGUAAAGUGAGCAUUUACACCUAGCCACGCGAUUCAAUGAACAUGGAAGAUACAACCAACACUAUGCCUUGGGAAACCUUCUUCAUCCGUACUUUAGAGGUUAUAAGUUUUAUUUCUUGGAUAUAUGCUUAGACAUUACGGUAUCUUCGAAGAGUUCACCAGAAAAGUCAUCAACGAUCAUCCAUCGUCGGACGCUGUUUCGAUCAGUGAAAAAAAUAAUCAUAAAGCUACACAAGUUAAAAUGCCAGUUGGUGCGGAUGAGUGCGACGAUUUACAAAAUAUAGAGAUUGAACAGGGUAAUAAUAACCACAGCAUUAGUCAAAAUGUACCGGAAAUUGAAAGGGAGUUUGAAUCUUUCCACGCUAUGCCUCGUGUUGAAGAAAAGCAUAAAGUUGAUGUGCUGAAAUGGUGGAAGAAACAUGCCUCUACUUUGCCAUUGUUAGCACAAUUGGCAAGAAAUUUGCUCUGCAUUCCGGCUGCAUCAAGCUGUAGUGAGAGAGUGUUCAGCGCCAGCGGUGGAAUUAUAAAUGAUAAAAGACACAGUCUUUCCACUCAGACAGCAAAGCAAUUGACUUUGAUUAAAGUCAAUUAUGAUCUUGUCUGUCCUCACAUGACCUUGAAAAUUAUAAGCGACGCUGAAGAAGCCCUGGACGCCGCAGCAUUAACUCCAGUUAGAACACCUCCCAAAAAUCCUAUUCCUAAAGCAGUUUUUUCAAAUAACCAAAAAAGGUUAUUGUUCAAAACAAAAAACGUUUCAACAACGCCAUUAUGUUCUUCUUCUUUACCAUCAACACCAACAUCUUCAGGAAUCAAAAGAAAAACAAUGGAAAUUCCAGAAGAAUCCAAAACAACAUCAUCCGAAAAAACAUCCAAAAGUGACACUCAACAAGUAUUAAAAUAAAAAUGUUUUACUUUUUAUUGUGAAAUUUUAAAACCGUGAAAUAUAAUUGUCUAAAUAAAAACUGAUUUUUCGUAAAAAUCGCAAAUGUGUGCUUAAAUUGGUACAAUAUAAAAGUAAAUUACUUUUUUAUUUUAUGCUAGCCCUAUCUGU